AUUGAACGCUGGCGGCAGGCCUAACACAUGCAAGUCGAACGAGCGGCGGACGGGUGAGUAAUGUAUGGGGACCGCCCGAUAGCUGGGGGUAACUACUGGAAACGGUGUCUAAUACCGCAUACUGUCGGAUAACCCAUAUGUGAUUAGCUAGUAGGUAAGGUAAUGGCUUACCUAGGCGACGAUCCCUAGCUGGUCUGAGAGGAUGAUCAGUCACACUGCGACGAGGACACGGCCUCAACUCCUAAGGAGGCAGCAGUGGGGAAUAUUCCACAAGGGGCGCAAGCCUAAUGUAGCCAUGCCGCGUGUAUGAAGAAGGCCCUCGGGUUGUAAAGUACUUUCAGUCGGGAGGCGUUACCGACAGAAGAAGCACCGGCUAACUCCGUGCCAGCAGCCGCGGUAAUUC
rnacentral:rRNA from 1 species